CCUACGGGUGACAGCAGUAGGGAAUCUUCCACAAUGGGCGAAAGCCUGAUGGAGCAACGCCGCGUGGGUGAAGAAGGUCUUCGGAUCGUAAAACCCUGUUGUUAGAGAAGAAAGUGCGUGAGAGUAACUGUUCACGUUUCGACGGUAUCUAACCAGAAAGCCCCGGCUAACUACGUGCCAGCAGCCGCGGUAAUACGUAGGUGGCAAGCGUUAUCCGGAUUUAUUGGGCGUAAAGGGAACGCAGGCGGUCUUUUAAGUCUGAUGUGAAAGCCUUCGGCUUAACCGGAGUAGUGCAUUGGAAACUGGGAGACUGGAGUGCAGAAGAGGAGAGUGGAACUCCAUGUGUAGCGGUGAAAUGCGUAGAUAUAUGGAAGAACACCAGUGGCGAAAGCGGCUCUCUGGUCUGUAACUGACGCUGAGGUUCGAAAGCGUGGGUAGCAAACAGGAUUAGAUACCCCAGUAGUC
rnacentral:rRNA from 1 species